AUUGCACGCUGGCGGCAGGCCUAACACAUGCAAGUCGAGCGAGCGGCUGACGGGUGAGUAAUGUCUGGGAAACUGCCUGAUGGAGGGGGAUAACUACUGGAAACGGUAGAUAAUACCGCAUAACAUCAGAUGUGCCCAGAUGGGAUUCGCUAGGAGGUGGGGUAACGGCUCACCUAGGCGACGAUCCCUAGCUGGUCUGAGAGGAUGACCAACCACCCUGGAACUGAGACACGGUCCAGACUCCUACGGGAGGCAGCAGUGGUGAAUAUUUCACAAUGGGCUCAAGCCUGAUGCAGCCAUGCCGCGUGUGUGAAGAAGGCCUUCGGGUUGUAAAGCACUUUCAGCGGGGAGGCGUUACCCGCAGAAGAAGCACCGGCUAACUCCGGGCCAGCAGCCGCGGUAAUAC
rnacentral:rRNA from 1 species